rnacentral:tRNA from 1 species
GCCUGAGUGGCUCAGUUGGUUGAGCGUCUGACUUCGGCUCGGGUCAUGAUCUCACGGUUCGUGAGUUCGAGCCCCGCGUCGGGCU